UCGCAGCACGAAGUCAUAUAAAAAUGAAUGUUAUAAAAGAGUCGAAGUAGAUAAAAUAAUCGACAGUCCGACAAUAGAUACCUACGUUACGAUGUGGAAACUUUUUCUUUUAGCCACCUUGGGUUUGCUAGUUCUAGCUCAUAAUGCAGAAGCAGGUGACGCCUGUAAAGACAAAGAGUCUAAAUGCAAGGAUUCCUUCGAUUUCGAUAUGGAAAAAUAUAAGCAAUAUUAUGAACAGUACAAAGCCAAAGGAGGAAAAGAUUUUGACCAAGCCAAAGCCCAAGCAGCAUAUAAAAAAUUUAAAGAAAGUGGCGGUUUUGACAAAUAUAGCAAGGAAGAUUAUAUAGCUUUCGCCAAGAAAUUAAUGGGAGAAUAUAAAAAAAAUAAAGGAAGUGGCAAAGGAGGUAAAGGCGGUAAAGGGCUUAAGUGUCUUGUGGGCUAAAGCCACCGGCAGUUCUACACGCUGCGUCUGCCAGUAAGGACAUACGCGAGUGUACCUAGGAUGGAACAAGUGGCCUAUCAUAUAAGUAUAAUCUAAAAUCGUAUAAUUGAGCUUUGCUGGAUUACAACAUCGGGACUACCUAUUCUUAGAUAGGUAGGUACUUUUAAAUUGCAAUUGCAAGUUUUUGAAACCGGGAACAUCUGGGUUAUUAUCUCUUUGCUAUUAAAGGUAUUAAGUACUUA